UUGAAAACAGUUCGUUCGAUAGCUGAUGAUAGUGUGGCGCGCGCGAGUGUGUGUGAAAUUUUCAUAUCAGAAAAAUUUACUAAAUAGCCAUUUAUGGGCAAUUUCAAAUAAAGUGAGUUUUGUUGACAAAAAACAUUGCGGAAAUACAAAUAUUGUACGGAAAAUUCUUAUUUUUAAAUAAUCGCUAAAGAAAUGCAUGCAUGAAAAUUCCGUUAUUUUAGCUUAAAAAUGCGGUGAGACAUUGUAGCAGACAUAAAAAAAAACAACAACAAACAACACGAAAUAAAACGUAAGUUAUAAGCGUGGCUGCACUGCAUGCAAUGCGCCAUUUAAAGUAAACAAAA